AGUACCGUAAAACGAGGUGACUUUGAGAUCCGGGGCGACAUUGAUGAUUACUCAAAAUUUAUGGUUUUACUUAUUUUUAUAUUUGGAAUGGAACGUAAUAAUUUUUAUUUUUAUUGUGUUGGCAAGACUGACUCAUCAGCCAUGUUUUCCGAAAACGUCGAGGUGAGAGGAUUGCUAAUCAGAAUGGUUCGGACUUACAAGAAAACUCCGGGUACCCGCAACUACAAAAAUUAUAGUAAUGAGACCCUCGAAGAGGCUCUCGAGAAAAUCACAAACGAUGAGCUUACUAUAAACGCUGCCUCGCUUCAGUAUCACAUCCCAUUCGGUACAUUAUAUAACAAGUACAAAGGUUUACAUGGAAAAUCUGCCGGUCUACUAAUUUAAAAAAUGUGGCAUUAUUUCUAUUGCUUAUAUUUUCUAUGUUUUUAUUUUUUUUUAUUUUUUUAAGUCUGUACCACGUACAAAUAAUUCUAAGAAUGAUUGUGUGACCAUGUUGAUAAUUGCGUAGAAAUAUUUAGUUUUGAUAAUUAUGUUACCUACCUACUAGGUACUUUUUGAUCUCUGAUUACCCACCUAUUAUGAUUGUUGAGACUGAUUAUUAUAACAGAAAUUAGUAAAAACUUUAGAAAGUUUGAUAUUAUUAUUAAUAUACUGACUGAUGUUGAUUAGAUAAAAAGUUUAAAAAUUA
rnacentral:lncRNA from 1 species